rnacentral:misc_RNA from 1 species
GUACCCUCUCCGCUUCUAUCGCCGUUGAUAAUGGCCGCGCCCCGGAGUUCAUUAAGAAAAGAAUUUAUAAGGAUAAAAGUCGGUGUUAUGAGUGUGGGGAGAUUGGGCAUUUGUCUUAUGAGUGUCCGAGGAAUCAGCUGGGGCCGAGGGAAAGGCCGGUAGCUAAGCGAGGUCGGAGAGGUGGGGAUCCAGGGAGGAGGGAGGAAGAGUGGGGUGAUGAGGAGGUGUUUGAGGAGGAGAAUUGGGCGUCGGUGGUGGAUGGAAGGGCGGAUGAGAGGUUGCUGAGUGGAGGGGACAGUGAGAUGGAGAGGAAGAAGGUGAAGAAAUCGAGCUAUUUUAGUGAUGAGAGUGAUGAGGAGGAGUGAUCUGGAGAUUUGAAUCAUCCAAGGUGUUAUCUUUUUGGUGGGACAUCAAAUGGAAUAAAUUUUAU